rnacentral:lncRNA from 1 species
UCACAAUGCAAAACCCUGGGAGCUUCGAGGAUGUGCCCUUUCUCCUCCAUCCUGAACUAAUGGAAAUCAAGGCUGAAGGCUGAGCCUGCCGGGGAGCCCACAAGAGCCCCUCAGUGCCACAGAGGCCUGGCCUGACUUUGGCAGGUCUCCAGCAGUGACCACAGAGUGCUAAAUAAUAAUAGGGUUGAAUUAUUUAUACAGAGGCCAAUGACUCAUGAGGCAUGGUCCACUUCUAGAAGAGUGCCAGGGUCCCAAGUCUAAGGUGAGUGGCCACCAGAGGGAGGACUGCAGUCCU